rnacentral:rRNA from 1 species
GACGAACGUUGGCGGCGUGCUUAAUACAUGCAAGUCAACUGAAGCAGUGGUAGCAAUAUCGCUGUGGAGGUGGCGCACGGGUGAGUAACACGUAGGUAAUCUGCCUUCAGGUCUGGCAUAACUCCGGGAAACCGGGGCUAAUAGCAGAUGAUGCAGCGGCUCGACAUCGAGACAGUUGUUAAAGCUAUGGCGCCUGAAGAUGAGCCUGCGUCUGAUUAGCUAGUUGGCGGGGUAACGGCCCACCAAGGCAACGAUCAGUAGCUGGUCUGAGAGGAUGAUCAGGCACACUGGAACUGAGACACGGUCCAGACUCCUACGGGAGGCAGCAGUAAGGAAUAUUGGUCAAUGGGAGAAAUCCUGAAGCAGCAACGCCGCGUGAGGGACGAAGGGCUUUUGCUUGUAAACCUCUGGAGGGAGAGAAAAAAAUCCCAAUCUUUGGGACAUGAUGGUAUCUCAAAAGUAAGCCCCGGCUAACUACGUG